rnacentral:rRNA from 1 species
GAGUUUGAUCUUGGCUCAGGACGAACGCUGGCUGCGUGCUUAACACAUGCAAGUCGAACGCUGAAGCCUGGUGCUUGCACCGGGUGGAUGAGUGGCGAACGGGUGAGUAACACGUGAGUAACCUGCCCCUGACUUCGGGAUAAGCCCGGGAAACUGGGUCUAAUACCGGAUACGACCGUCGGACGCAUGUCUGGUGGUGGAAAGUUUUUUCGGUUGGGGAUGGGCUCGCGGCCUAUCAGUUUGUUGGUGAGGUAAUGGCUCACCAAGACGACGACGGGUAGCCGGCCUGAGAGGGCGACCGGCCACACUGGGACUGAGACACGGCCCAGACUCCUACGGGAGGCAGCAGUGGGGAAUAUUGCACAAUGGGGGAAACCCUGAUGCAGCGACGCAGCGUGCGGGAUGACGGCCUUCGG